CAUCCCUCACACCACCCCAUUGUAUGGUAAAUGACACUGGAGCCUCUCCUCAGCUGCUGAACAAAACCCCAUUGUCUGAGGGUGUUGCAUCCCCCACCUGCUCUGCCCAGGCCCUACACUUGGAGCAUCAGAGUGGAAAUCAGGCCUUAUGUGCCAGGCAGCAUAAUCCUCAUCCUGGUGACUGCUCAAGAGCCCCAAAACCUCUGGAUUGUGGCCACGGCUUCACAGCAGCAAGGCCUCAGCGUGUUCUUGCCCCAUCACACCUUUCCCAGUCCCCAUCCUUUGAUUUUUGGGUGUUUUUGAGCUGUACCAGCUCCCCAGACUGGGUUCCCAGCAAGGUGGGCCAGCACAGGCAGGAUUUUGGUGCAGGGAGGAGGCAAGGUGGAGCGAAUCCUGGAUCCCUGGAAAGCACAGUUGUGUCCAACCCCAGGUGAUGAUUGUCACAGCAUUCACACAAACUCGUGUCUUCAAAACCUCUCCCCUGUGAUCAGCAUUGACCAAGGUGCUCAGCAGCUGCCAGAAAGGAAGAUGGAGGAUGGACUGAGGGAAAACAUAAACUUUAUUUUGCUAUACAGGAGGGAAAACAUCCUUCUACUAUCAUUGUUAUAAUGGAAUAACAGGUGUUUAAAGAGGAGUCUCCUGGGUUUGGAUUGGGAUAGAUUGUAGUCUGGAGGAGUCACUGCCCUUGCCAACAUUCAAUUUAACAUCCUUAGGAGCUGCUUCUGAAUUUGAAUGUCUGGGUCUCUGCACUCAACCUUGAUUAACUGGCCCAACAACGAAUGUUAAUCACCCUGAUUUACAUUGCCUGCAGAGCUAUGGUCAACUUGAUAUCAGCAACCUGCAGCUCCCUUAACAUGUUCCAACAGGGAACUUCCAGAGUCUUGCAGGCAGAGGAGGUGAGCCCUGGGAGCCUGCACUGCGAGGUUUGUCUGGCAGGGAGCUGCAGGCAGGAGCAGGGCAGGAAUACCUCAGCCAACUGAACUGCUGUGCCUCAAAGAGCUUUUGUGGCUCUCCAGGCUCUAAAGAUGUAGGUAACACAAAGUUUUGAGCUACAUUUGGAUUCUGAAUACAUAAAAAAAGACUUAAGCUUUAAACUUGUGUGUUCUUCCCAGCAACAAACUGAUCUGGUUGGGGGAGCCAGCGCAGGAUUUGAGACAGUGUCCUUUACGUGGCUGGGAGCCAGUAAGGACACACACAAGACACAUUCAGCAAACACCCCAUCGCAUUUUUCCACAGAUGAGACCAUUCUGCAGUGACAUUCUGGAGGACAGGAAGCCCCAGGGCUGGGCAGAGCCAGCUGCUGGCCACAGCUCCUGGUGGCAGGAGUUCCACGUGCAGCUGAGGCAGGGCAUUAAAAAAUCUCCUGUUAUCACCGCGAGCUGCGCCGGCUGCUCCUGGAAAUUCGCCUAUCAGCCACCAUGCUGCAGCUCUGUUGGUGGCAGAAGAUUGUUCCUCUGGACUUUUCUUAAAAAAAUAAAUAAAAUGUCAAGCCUGAAAAGGAAGCCUGC
rnacentral:lncRNA from 1 species